rnacentral:rRNA from 1 species
UAAGGAAUAUUGGGCAAUGGACGCAAGUCUGACCCAGCCAUGCCGCGUGAAGGGUGAAGGCCCUAUGGGUUGUAAACUUCUUUUCCAGGGGGAGAAUUUUCCGGUCGUGACCGGAAUUGACGGUACUCUGGGAAUAAGCAUCGGCUAACUCCGUGCCAGCAGCCGCGGUAAUACGGAGGAUGCGAGCGUUAUCCGGAUUUAUUGGGUUUAAAGGGUGCGUAGGCGGAUCAAUAAGUCAGUGGUGAAAUUCUGCAGCUUAACUGUAGACUUGCCAUUGAUACUGUUGGUCUUGAGUAUGGUCAAGGUAGGCGGAAUGUGUAAUGUAGCGGUGAAAUGCUUAGAUAUUACACAGAACACCGAUUGCGAAGGCAGCUUGCUGGGCCAAUACUGACGCUGAUGCACGAAAGCGUGGGGAUCGAACAGGAUUAGAUAAGUAGUC